rnacentral:piRNA from 1 species
AACGUUCUGUGAAAUUUUUUGCA